UCAUUCAAUCACCAAAGUUAAGCAAUGCAGAGCCUGGUCAGUACAUAGAUGGGUGACAGCUUGGGAAUACUAGGUGCUGUACG